AGAAAUAGUUUAUUGUCUUCAGAAAAAGUCUGUUAGCAUCUGAACUGUAAUGCUAACUAUAAGAGGUUUUGCAGGCAAUUUGUCAUUGGAUGAAAGGAACAGUUUCAGAAAAAAACUUCUACGACACAGGAAAAG